GCCAAUCAGAACUCUUGUUAUAUUUGCCUUUUGGUGCGAAACUGGUUUGUUUGGAAAAAAUGGCUGCUGCCAUGAUGGUGCCUUUUUCACAUCUUCUGCAAGUUUAUGUGACGACCUGUUUAAAGUUUAACAUUGACACGCGGAGAUGAUGCCAAUGAUUCACCAUUAGAAGAUAUGACGGUAACAGUGGUCCAGAACUUGGCUCAACCAGAGUUCCACCAACAUUGCAACAUGCACACAACCAGCAAAACAUACCAAGAAGACGACGCAGAAGAAGAGGACAAGGAUGCAUUCUACGACGCCUUCAAAGUGUUUCAAAGGACAUCCCCCAACACGACAUGCUGAUGUUGCUCGGCGACUUCAAUGCUAAGGUUUGCUGCGACAACAAAGACAAAAAGAGGACCAUGGGAAGACAUGGAGUGGAUGUGAUCACCAACAACGGGGAGAGACUAGUCAAUUCUGCCAACAGAACGACU